rnacentral:rRNA from 1 species
AUUGAACGCUGGCGGCAUGCCUUACACAUGCAAGUCGAACGGCAGCACGGACUUCGGUCUGGUGGCGAGUGGCGAACGGGUGAGUAAUGUAUCGGAACGUACCUUUCAGUGGGGGAUAACGUAGCGAAAGUUACGCUAAUACCGCAUAUUCUGUGAGCAGGAAAGCAGGGGAUCGCAAGACCUUGCGCUGAUUGAGCGGCCGAUAUCAGAUUAGCUAGUUGGUGAGGUAAAGGCUCACCAAGGCGACGAUCUGUAGCGGGUCUGAGAGGAUGAUCCGCCACACUGGAACUGCGACACGGUCCAGACUCCUACGGGAGGCAGCAGUGGAGAAUGUUGGACAAUGGGGGCAACCCUGAUCCAGCCAUGCCGCGUGAGUGAAGAAGGCCUUCGGGUUGUAAAGCUCUUUCGGCCGGGAAGAAAUCGCAUAGGUUAAUACCCUGUGUGGAUGACGGUACCGGAAUAAGAAGCACCGGCUAACUACGUGCCAGCCGCCGCCGUAAUAC